UUCAGUUAUGGCGACAUGGUUCCUGAAACAAUAGCCGGUAAAAUAGUAGGAGGAGUUUGUUCACUUAGUGGAGUACUUGUUAUCGCUUUACCUGUACCUGUCAUAGUAUCUAAC
rfam:Megaselia scalaris, Durham, NC isolate 2 -- Noor lab, WGS project CAQQ02000000 data, contig: ctg0000332521